GACUGUAUGAGUGUACAUUUAAAAAGAGAAUUACAUUGAAUUAUAUAAUAAAUGAAAUCAUAAAUGUUUACGAAAUCUAUUACCAUUGACUUAAAAAUGGAAUAACACCCCCCCAAAAAAGGCAUGCAAGUGGGACUUUGUAUGCUUUUUGGAUUUGUGAUAAUGCCUCUACAUGGCACAUGCAAGCACUCAUUGGCUCAUAUCCUCACCAUGACCACGCGAAGCAAAAGGAUCGUGGACGUCACCUCCCAGCUCCAAACAAAACUUCGAAAGCCAAAAACUAAGUGGCCCCUCCGCUUCGUUGGCAUUGACAUUUCUAGAACUCAACAAUAAUUUAUCACCAUCACCCCCUCAUUCAUUAGCGUAGCUUCUUAACACCACAACACAACCCUAGCUUCAGCAAUAGCACCUUUUCUCAAGCUCAAACUCAAACUCAAGCUCAAGCUCCUCCAUUUUCCUUCUGCAUUUCCAUCAUGGAGACUACUAAAACACAGAUAAACCCAACAGCCGCAUUUCAAAUAAAAGAAAUAAAAACCAGCCAAAAACCUCAGAUGGGUCAUCAUGAAAAUGCACGUAAAGCUCACCGGAAAUUAGUUAACCGAAGGAAGAGAACAACAAGAGACAUCACAGCCGCUUAUCAUCAUCGGUGGCAGCAGCAGCAGCAGCAGCAGAAGAAGGACAAGGUUCAAGAAGAUCAAGA
rnacentral:lncRNA from 1 species